AGUCUGCAGAAGCUCAGCCUCUGAGGUGAAUGUUGUGGCCCAAACGUCUCUCUGCUCUGUACCUCACAGGAUUCCCACUGGCUGUUCCAAUCCAGGAGGAAAACUAUGCCACCGAAGUCUCACAGCUCUGGUGCAGUGAAGUGCCACUUAAACCCACUGUGAUGCGCAGACCUUGCCCUAGCUGUCUACACAGGGCUGAAUUUCACCCCUUCAGAGUGUAAGGAAGUAAUUGGCUGAAGGGCUUUUUCUGGUCGGAUGUGGUUCUGGUGGGAAAGAACCAUGGGCAUUGUUAACCUGUAUUGCGCCCAGGACUGGUGCUUCAAUGAUGCCGAGAAGUGCUGAUGCAUUGGAUUUUUUGGAUUUUUUUCCCCGCUUUUAAUCUAACCUCUUCCUCUCUUUUAACAGGUAUUCUAAGGGCACCCUGUGCUUCAUGUGGGCAUUCUUGUGUGGGCCGAUUGUGUCAGACCUGCACCGGAAUAAAGAAUAGUGAAUGAAAUAUGCAGACACUAAAGUUCUGCAGCCAAAUUCUCAGAAACUUUCCUCUUCAAUGUAGAAUCAGGAUUUUGUUAUUAAUUGAUUUUUUUCAGGUGCUAAGCAGAUGCUACCCUGUAAUAAGAGGAAACAGAAGCAAAAGCUGAAAGAAUGUUACUUACACCGAUGAUCAGAUGCAGAGAGUGGAAACACGGCAAAGCAAACAAAUGAAUACUGCUCAGACUCGCCGUCCAUUAGGAGGUGAAGACUGGAUGGGAGCUGCUGGAUCGACCUUGAUAUGCCAUGUCCUUGUGUGGAUGAAGGACCUACAUCUCAGGGAUGGCCAGCAGCAGAUGUAAGAAUGUGUCCAAGAAUAGUCUGAACAACCUACACUGAUAGAUCUCAGCCGCUCAGCAGAAUGCGGGAGAGCCGAGUGCUGAUGAGCAGAGGGGUCACAGGAGUCACCGUGCGGCUGUGCAGCAGGUGCAGUGUCUGCAGUCACCAGGGGCCAAACCCUGCGCUCCAGACAACCCAGGCUAAGGCUCCCUGGAUUGCCAAGGGGACUUUGGCUUGGGGAAUCGGUUGCUGGUGCCUGUGUUCACAACUGGGAUGUUGUCAUGAGUAGCCACUCAAUGGUCCAUGAAGAGCACGGGGAGAAUGGGCAUUAAAGAGCGAGGCUGGGACCUCUGCGGAGCUGCUGCAGUCAAGCAUCCACAGCCAGAAGAGAGACGAUGGGAAACUCGCUUCGAUGGCUGGCUACAGCCGCAGCAGCUGUCUCAUAAAGCUCUGCUCACGCUCUAGCCAACAGAGGCAGGACAAAGAGCCACCCAGUGAGAGCCUGCGUUGCAAUUCGCAAUACGCGGUUUUUCAGUGGAUUCUGCUGCCCUGGCAGUCUAUUUCCUGUAGUGUGCACAUCCAGCCUCCCUGGCUGACCUAAAUGGGAGUUAGGUUCUCCGUGCCCACAGGACAGGGCUGGCCUUACCAUGAGGCGAACCGAGGUGGCCGCCUAAGGUGGCAGACUGUGGGGGGGCACUACUAGGACCCAGAGUGUAGAAAAUUGUGUCUGCUGCGGGUGCCUAUGUAUUCUCUCUGCUCGAGAUGCACAGAGAUGGUGGAGUGCUG